rnacentral:rRNA from 1 species
AUUGAACGCUGGCGGCGUGCUUAACACAUGCAAGUCGUGCGGUAACAGGCGUAGCAAUACGUGCUGACGAGCGGCGAACGGGUGCGUAAUACAUGGGAAUCUGCCUUUUAGUGGGGAAUAACCCGGCGAAAGCCGGGCUAAUGCCGCAUAAGAUCUUCGGAUGAAAGCGGGGGAUCGUAAGACCUCGCGCUGAAAGAUGAGCCCAUGCCGGAUUAGCUAGUUGGGAGGUAACGGCUCACCAAGGCGACGAUCCGUAGCUGGUCUGAGAGGACGGCCAGCCACACUGGGACUGAGACACGGCCCAGACUCCUACGGGAGGCAGCAGUGGGGAAUUGUUCGCAAUGGGCGCAAGCCUGACGACGCAACGCCGCGUGGAGGAUGAAGA